GUAGUUGUUAUGCGAGUGGUUAGGCGAUGAGGGACCAGAAAUCCAUUGGGGUCUCCCCGCGCAGGUUCGACUCCUGCCAACUACG